GAAGGAUCCAAGCGUUGUCCGGAUUUACUGGGUUUAAAGGGUGCGUAGGCGGACUUUUAAGUCAGUGGUGAAAGCCUGUAGCUUAACUAUAGAAUUGCCAUUGAAACUGAAAGUCUCGAGUGUGGUUGAGGUAACUGGAAUAUAUCAUGUAGCGGUGAAAUGCUUAGAUAUGAUAUAGAACACCAAUUGCGAAGGCAGGUUACUGAGCCAUUACUGACGCUGAGGCACGAAAGCGUGGGGAUCAAACAGGAUUAGAUACCCCGGUAGUCCACGCCGUAAACGUUGCAUACUCGAUCUUAGCGAUACACAGUUAGGAUCCAAGCGAAAGCGUUAAGUAUGCCACCUGGGAAGUACGAUCGCAAGAUUG
rnacentral:rRNA from 1 species